UUCUCUUUUCUUCUCUAUCAAUAUUCAGUUUCCCCUUUUUUCUCUUCCUCAACUUCUUUUUUUUUCUUCUCCGCUUUUGUUUAUCCUCCUUUAUUCUUUUGCAUCCAUGCCAUUUUUGUUUCUCCUCCUUUAUUCUUUUGCGUCCGUCCAUAUUUUGUUUCACGUUAAUAUUCUAUUUUUCCCUUUUUUGUCUAAUUUUUUGUGGUUUGAUUUUUAGGAUAGUCUAACGACGGUGCUGAAGGUUACGAGGCUUUGCCCAUGGAAGAGUUGGGAUAGGCUACUAAAAGAAUAAAGGUUACGGCACUUUUUCCAUGGAAGGGUUGCAACAAUAGGACUCGAGGUUACUGUUCUUUUUCGAGGUUACGACACUUUGCCCAUACAAAAGUUUAAAUUUUUUUGUGUUCCUGAGCUUUCUCCAACGUGCUCAUUGCUUCAUAUGCCCAACUUUUUGUGUUUUCGUCCUUUUUUGGUGGUGUAAUGGUUCAAUAUAUUUUUUGGUAUGUUGUAUGCAGAGAAGUUGGAAGAACACAUUAAAGCUGUCAUUUUUAUCUCAAAAACUCCAUGACUACAGAGAAGGUGGAAGAACACAUUAAAGUUGCGACUUUUGUCCCAAAAACUUCAUCAGUACAGAUGUUGUGAGCAAUCUGCAGAAUUGCAACUAUGGGGUAAGGAUGUGUGGGUAACGCUACCCAGUGCUUUUUUUUAUUUAAUUA